GGCCCUCCAAAAGCCUUCCGCAAUGCUGAGAUAAGGCAAGGCUCAAAGCAAAGCUAUCCUGUAGGGACCAGGUUGACUUACACUUGCAUCUCAGGUUAUGAACCAACUUCUCCAACGCCACCAGUUACUGAAUGCCUUGGAACUUCACAAUGGUCGGAGGUUUCUGUGUCCUGUCGAGGAAGACGAUGUCCUUAUCCCAAUAUAGAGAAUGGUGGAAUAGCAGAAGACAGUGAACUUCGGCUUGGUGAUCAAAUAACCUUUGUCUGCAAUGACGGAUACAGACCAGUAGGGCGAAAUGGAGCUCGGUGUAUCGUGCAAAAUAACAAAGUGGUUUGGGAUAAUGCACCUCCACAUUGCG